rnacentral:rRNA from 1 species
AUGGCGCUGCCGGCGCAGGUCGCCGCCUCGCGUCUCCUCCUCCCUCCCUCGCGCCGGCUCACGUCGGCUCCGAGUCCGGCGCCUCCUCUCCUCCGCUCUGGCCCUGGCCCCGGCUCCUGCCGGUGGACGCGGCGGGCGAGCGUGCGGGUCCGCGCGGGCGCCGGCGGCGGAGGCGGGCGAAGGAGGGAGUCCCCGCACGAGGUGCUCGGCGUGGCGCCGUCGGCGUCGCCCGCGGAGAUCAAGCGCGCGUACCGGCGCCUCGCGCUCAAGUACCACCCGGACGUCAACAAGGAGGCGGAUGCUCAGGCGAAGUUCCUGAGGAUCAAGCACGCCUACAACACGCUGAUGAACUCGGAGAUCCGAUCCAAGCACGCCGAGGCAGAAGAGGAGUUCGAUUGGCUCGCGGCUAUCAUUGAAAGCAUGGAAGCAUUUCAGUUUCAGGACUCGGAUGAUGAGCUGGAUUUCGACUGGAGACCUGAAGGCCUGUGGGAACAUGUGUUUGCGUAUUCUCUAAUUAUAUCCAUGCUUAUCUACGUUCUCAUAUAA